rnacentral:piRNA from 1 species
UUAACUCAGGAGCUCAGGUCGUAC